AGUGGAAUAGCUCAGUUGGUAGAGCAUUAGGGUCAUAACCUAAUUGUCGUGGGUUCGACACCCUCUUCCAUUA